AGUGAACGCUGGCGGUAGGCCUAACACAUGCAAGUCGAACGGCAGCACAGUAAGAGCUUGCUCUUACGGGUGGCGAGUGGCGGACGGGUGAGGAAUACAUCGGAAUCUACUUUUUCGUGGGGGAUAACGUAGGGAAACUUACGCUAAUACCGCAUACGACCUACGGGUGAAAGCAGGGGAUCUUCGGACCUUGCGCGAUUGAAUGAGCCGAUGUCGGAUUAGCUAGUUGGCGGGGUAAAGGCCCACCAAGGCGACGAUCCGUAGCUGGUCUGAGAGGAUGAUCAGCCACACUGGAACUGGGACAAGGUCCAGACUCCUACGGGAGGCAGCAGUGGGGAAUAUUGGACAAUGGGCGCAAGCCUGAUCCAGCCAUACCGCGUGGGUGAAGAAGGCCUUCGGGUUGUAAAGCCCUUUUGUUGGGAAAGAAAAGCAGCAGGUUAAUACCCCGCUGUUCUGACGGUACCCAAAGAAUAAGCACCGGCUAACUUCGUG
rnacentral:rRNA from 1 species